UACGAAGGGGGCUAGCGUUGCUCGGAAUUACUGGGCGUAAAGCGCACGUAGGCGGCUCUUUAAGUCGGGGGUGAAAUCCUGGAGCUCAACUCCAGAACUGCCUUCGAUACUGUAGAGCUUGAGUUCGGGAGAGGUGAGUGGAACUGCGAGUGUAGAGGUGAAAUUCGUAGAUAUUCGCAAGAACACCAGUGGCGAAGGCGGUCCCCUGGGCCGGAACUGACGCUGAGGCGCGAAAGCGUGGGUAGCAAACGGG
rnacentral:rRNA from 1 species